rnacentral:rRNA from 1 species
GACGAACGCUGGCGGCGUGCUUAACACAUGCAAGUCGAACGGAAAGGCCCUGCUUUUGUGGGGUGCUCGAGUGGCGAACGGGUGAGUAACACGUGAGUAACCUGCCCUUGACUUUGGGAUAACUUCAGGAAACUGGGGCUAAUACCGGAUAGGAGCUCCUGCUGCAUGGUGGGGGUUGGAAAGUUUCGGCGGUUGGGGAUGGACUCGCGGCUUAUCAGCUUGUUGGUGGGGUAGUGGCUUACCAAGGCUUUGACGGGUAGCCGGCCUGAGAGGGUGACCGGCCACAUUGGGACUGAGAUACGGCCCAGACUCCUACGGGAGGCAGCAGUGGGGAAUAUUGCACAAUGGGCGGAAGCCUGAUGCAGAAACGCCGCGUGCGGGAUGACGGCCUUCGGGUUGUAAACCGCUGUCGCCUGUGACGAAGCGUGAGUGACGGUAAUGGGUAAAGAAGCACCGGCUAACUACGUG